UACGGAGGGAGCUAGCGUUGUUCGGAAUUACUGGGCGUAAAGCGCACGUAGGCGGCUUUGUAAGUCAGAGGUGAAAGCCUGGAGCUCAACUCCAGAACUGCCUUUGAGACUGCAUCGCUUGAAUCCAGGAGAGGUGAGUGGAAUUCCGAGUGUAGAGGUGAAAUUCGUAGAUAUUCGGAAGAACACCAGUGGCGAAGGCGGCUCACUGGCCCGGUACUGACGCUGAGGCACGAAAGCGUGGGGAGCAAACAGG
rnacentral:rRNA from 1 species